rnacentral:rRNA from 1 species
AUUGAACGCUGGCGGCAGGCCUAACACAUGCAAGUCGGACGGUAGCACAGAGAGCUUGCUCUUGGGUGACGAGUGGCGGACGGGUGAGUAAUGUCUGGGGAUCUGCCCGAUAGAGGGGGAUAACCACUGGAAACGGUGGCUAAUACCGCAUAACGUCGCAAGACCAAAGAGGGGGACCUUCGGGCCUCUCACUAUCGGAUGAACCCAGAUGGGAUUAGCUAGUAGGCGGGGUAAUGGCCCACCUAGGCGACGAUCCCUAGCUGGUCUGAGAGGAUGAAGAGCCACACUGGAACUGAGACACGGUCCAGACUCCUACGGGAGGCAGCAGUGGGGAAUAUUGCACAAUGGGCGCAAGCCUGAUGCAGCCAUGCAGCGUGUAGGAAGAAGGCCUUCGGGUUGUAAAGUACUUUCAGCGGGGAGGAAGGCGGUGCGGUUAAUAACCGCACCGAUUGACGUUACCCGCAGAAGAAGCACCGGCUAACUCCGUGCCAGCCGCCGCAGUAA